UGGGGGAUAUUGCACAAUGGGGGAAACCCUGAUGCAGCGACGCCGCGUGAGGGAAGACGGUCCUCUGGAUUGUAAACCUCUGUCUUCGGGGACGAAACGAGACGGUACCCGAGGAGGAAGCCACGGCUAACUACGUGCCAGCAGCCGCGGUAAUACGUAGGUGGCAAGCGUUGUCCGGAAUUACUGGGUGUAAAGGGAGCGUAGGCGGGCAGGCAAGUCAGGCGUGAAAUAUAUCGGCUCAACCGGUAACGGCGCUUGAAACUGCAGGUCUUGAGUGAAGUAGAGGUUGGCGGAAUUCCUAGUGUAGCGGUGAAAUGCGUAGAUAUUAGGAGGAACACCAGUGGCGAAGGCGGCCAACUGGGCUUUUACUGACGCUGAGGCUCGAAAGUGUGGGGAGCAA
rnacentral:rRNA from 1 species